UGGGGAAUUGUUCGCAAUGGGCGCAAGCCUGACGACGCAACGCCGCGUGGAGGAUGAAGACUUUCGGGUCGUAAACUCCUUUCGAUCGGGACGAAUGAUCGGUGACCUAACACGUCAUCGAAAUGACGGUACCGAGAGAAGAAGCCCCGGCUAACUCCGUGCCAGCAGCCGCGGUAAUACGGGGGGGGCAAGCGUUGUUCGGAAUUACUGGGCGUAAAGGGCGCGUAGGCGGCCAUCUAAGUCGGACGUGAAAUCCCUCGGCUUAACCGAGGAACUGCGUCCGAUACUGGAAGGCUUGAAUCCGGGAGAGGGAUGUGGAAUUCCAGGUGUAGCGGUGAAAUGCGUAGAUAUCUGGAGGAACACCGGUGGCGAAGGCGGCAUCCUGGACCGGCAUUGACGCUGAGGCGCGAAAGCUAGGGGAGCAAACGG
rnacentral:rRNA from 1 species